AUUGAACGCUGGCGGCAGGCUUAACACAUGCAAGUCGAGCGGAGAUGAGGUGCUUGCACCUUAUCUUAGCGGCGGACGGGUGAGUAAUGCUUAGGAAUCUGCCUAUUAGUGGGGGACAACAUUCCGAAAGGAAUGCUAAUACCGCAUACGUCCUACGGGAGAAAGCAGGGGAUCUUCGGACCUUGCUCUAAUAGAUGAGCCUAAGUCGGAUUAGCUAGUUGGUGGGGUAAAAGCCUACCAAGGCGACGAUCUGUAGCGGGUCUGAGAGGAUGAUCUGCCACACUGGGACUGAGACACGGCCCAGACUCCUACGGGAGGCAGCAGUGGGGAAUAUUGGACAAUGGGGGGAACCCUGAUCCAGCCAUGCCGCGUGUGUGAAGAAGGCCUUAUGGUUGUAAAGCACUUUAAGCGAGGAGGAGGCUACUGAGACUAAUACUCUUGGAUAGUGGACGUUACUCGCAGAAUAAGCACCGGCUAACUCUGUGCCAGCAGCCGCCGUAA
rnacentral:rRNA from 1 species